rnacentral:rRNA from 1 species
GCCGAUCAGGCUGUUGGUGAGGUAAUGGCCCACCAAACCUGUAACCGGUACGGGCUCUGAGAGGAGGAGCCCGGAGAUGGGCACUGAGACAAGGGCCCAGGCCCUAUGGGGCGCAGCAGGCGCGAAACCUCUGCAAUAGGCGAAAGCUUGACAGGGUUACUCUGAGUGAUUCCCGCUAAGGGAAUCUUUUGGCAUCUCUAAAAAUGGUGCAGAAUAAGGGGUGGGCAAGUCUGGUGUCAGCCGCCGCGGUAAUACCAGCACCCCGAGUGGUCGGGACGAUUAUUGGGCCUAAAGCAUCCGUAGCCGGUCUUGCAAGUCUUCCGUUAAAUCCAGCUGCUUAACAGAUGGGCUGCGGAGGAUACUACAAGGCUAGGAGGCGGGAGAGGCAAGCGGUACUUAGUGGGUAGGGGUAAAAUCCGUUGAUCCAUUGAAGACCACCAGUGGCGAAGGCGGCUUGCCAGAACGCACUCGACGGUGAGGGAUGAAAGCUGGGGGAGCAAACCGGAUUAGAUACCCGGGUAGUCCCAGCUGUAAACGAUGCAGACUCGGUGAUGAAUAGGCUUCGUGCCUAUUCAGUGCCGCAGGGAAGCCGUUAAGUCUGCCGCCUGGGGAGUACGGUCGCAAGACUGAAACUUAA